rnacentral:rRNA from 1 species
GAUUAUCCUACUCGGAUAACUGUGGCAAUUCUAGAGCUAAUACGCGCAAGAAAGCUCGGACCUUACGGGAAGAGCGCAUUUAUUAGACCAAAACCAAUCGGGCUUCGGCCUGAGCUGUGGUGACUCUGAAUAACUAAGCUGAUCGCACGGUCUUAGUACCGGCGACGCAUCUUUCAAGUGUCUGCCUUAUCAACUUUCGAUGGUAGUUUAUGUGCCUACCAUGGUUGUAACGGGUAACGGAGAAUAAGGGUUCGACUCCGGAGAGGGAGCCUGAGAAACGGCUACCACAUCCAAGGAAGGCAGCAGGCGCGCAAAUUACCCACUCUCGGCACGAGGAGGUAGUGACGAAAAAUAAACGAGGCUAGUAUGGUCUGAGGCCCGCCAUCGGAAUGGGU